rnacentral:rRNA from 1 species
AUUGAACGCUGGCGGCAGGCCUAACACAUGCAAGUCGGGCGCGGGGCGGACGGGUGAGUAAUGUAUGGGGAUCAGCCUGAUGGAGGGGGAUAACUACUGGAAACGGUAGCUAAUACCGCAUACCAUCAGAUGAACCCAUAUGGGAUUAGCUAGUAGGUGAGGUAACGGCUUACCUAGGCCACGAUGCCCAGCUGGUAUGAGAGGAUGAUCAGCCACACUGGAACUGAGACACGGACCAGACUCCUACGGGAGGCAGCAGUGGGGAAUAUUGCACAAUGGGCGCAAGCCUGAUGCAGCCAUGCCGCGUGUAUGAAGAAGGCCUUCGGGUUGUAAAAUACUUUCAGUCGGGAGGCGUUACCUACAGAGGAAGCACCGGCUAACUCCGUGCCAGCAGCCGCGGUAAUUC